rnacentral:rRNA from 1 species
UACGUAGGGGGCGAGCGUUGUCCGGAUUUAUUGGGCGUAAAGAGCUCGUAGGCGGUUUGGUAAGUCGGGUGUGAAAACCCCAGGCUCAACCUGGGGACGCCACCUGAUACUGCUAUGACUUGAGUCUGGUAGGGGACCUCGGAAUUCCUGGUGUAGCGGUGAAAUGCGCAGAUAUCAGGAGGAACACCGGUGGCGAAGGCGGUGGUCUGGGCCAGUACUGACGCUGAGGAGCGAAAGCUAGGGGAGCGAACGGG